CCUACGGGAGGCAGCAGUGAGGAAUAUUGGUCAAUGGGCGCGAGCCUGAACCAGCCAAGUAGCGUGAAGGAUGACUGCCCUACGGGUUGUAAACCUCUUUUAUAAAGGAGUAAAGUGAGCCACGUGUGCCUUUUUGUAUGUUCUUUAUGAAUAAGGAUCGGCUAACUCCGUGCCAGCAGCCGCGGUAAGUCGGGGGAUCCGAGCGUUAUCCGGAUUUAUUGGGGUUAAAGGGAGCGUAGAUGGGUUGUUAAGUUCGUUGUGAAAGUUUGCGGCUCAACCCUAAAAUUGCAAUUGAUACUGGCGGUCUUGAGUGCAGUUGAGGUAGGCGGAAUGCGUGGUGUAGCGGUGAAAUGCUUAGAUAUCACGAAGAACUCCGAUUGUGAAGGCAGCUUACUAAACUGCCACUGACAUUGAUGCUCGAAAGUGUGGGUAUCAAACAGGAUUAGAUACCCUAGUAGUC
rnacentral:rRNA from 1 species